CCAGAAAGCCACGGCUAACUACGUGCCAGCAGCCGCGGUAAUACGUAGGUGGCAAGCGUUGUCCGGAUUUAUUGGGCGUAAAGCGAGCGCAGGCGGUUUCUUAAGUCUGAUGUGAAAGCCCCCGGCUUAACCGGGGAGGGUCAUUGGAAACUGGGAGACUUGAGUGCAGAAGAGGAGAGUGGAAUUCCAUGUGUAGCGGUGAAAUGCGUAGAUAUAUGGAGGAACACCAGUGGCGAAGGCGGCUCUCUGGUCUGU
rnacentral:rRNA from 1 species